rnacentral:rRNA from 1 species
GGAUGCGAUCAUACCAGCACUAAAGCACCGGAUCCCAUCAGAACUCCGAAGUUAAGCCUGGGAAGUCCUCGUGUUGCAUUCC